GGGGGGGGGUGUUGUUUG
rnacentral:miRNA from 1 species